rnacentral:miRNA from 1 species
CAGGAGCGGUGGAAAUGUCGA